rnacentral:rRNA from 1 species
AACAAACGCUGGCGGCGUGCCUAACACAUGCAGGUCGUACGAGAAAGGGUCCUUCGGGGCCUGAGUAAAGUGGCGCACGGGUGAGUCACGCGUGGAUAAUCUGCCCUUCAGUUGGGAAUAACUCAUCGAAAGGUGGGCUAAUACCGAAUAAUGCUGUGAGACCACGGUUGAUCAGCCAAAGAGAGCCUCUGCUUGCAAGCCCUCGCUGAAGGAUGAGUCCGCGUACCAUUAGCUAGUUGGUAGGGUAAUGGCCUACCAAGGCGACGAUGGUUAGCUGGUCUGAGAGGAUGAUCAGCUACACUGGAACUGAGACACGGUCCAGACUCCUACGGGAGGAAGCAGUGAGGAAUCUUGCGCAAUGGGGGCAACCCUGACGCAGCAACGCCGCGUGAGUGAGGAAGGUCUUCGGAUCGUAAAGCUCUGUCGGAUGGAAAGAACCGCAUAGGGGUAAACAGCCCCUGUGUCUGACGGUACCAUCAAAGGAGCACCGGCUAACUCCGUGCCAGCCGCCGCCGUAAUAC